rnacentral:lncRNA from 1 species
GGAGAAAGAAGUCCCCAAAUUCACAGUCCUUGGACAUUAUCUUAUACCAGAACCUGAACCAACAAUUUAAAGAUUGACUAAAAAACCCAAACGAGUUGUUAAAAAACGUUAAGGUCUCCAAAGAGUCUAUGGGUGCAUUGUCUUAUAGCAGAGAUCACAGGGUAUUCUGUGAAGGGUCACAAUGGCAUCUUAUUGCCCUCAAUGCUGAUUUUCACCGCAUGGGCCGAUCUGCUUUUUUUCCUGAUAUCUGUGAAUUUCCGCAUCUGUUUGUCCAGUCGACUCACCCCUUUCUUAGAGGUCCCCUGGAACCUGGAGGACUCCAUCUCCACGUUCCACUUUGGCCUGACCACAUAGUCCUUGUUGGAAGGCAUUGGCACCCUCGCACGGGCACAGAAACCUGGGUCUCCAGGUCUAAGAGCCUUUUCCUCUCCUGUUAACACUUUCUCCAGAUCCCUGCGGGGAGUCUGACCACCAGAACUGCUUAACCUCCUUCGCUGAGGCAUCUGUUCCAAAUCUCUCUGUUCUCUCUCUUCUCUUGUCAUGCCUUUGUAGUUUGAGGUAAGACCAAAGAUGGGUCGAGACCAUUCAUUGAUCAGCUUCCCUGCCAUAUCCUUGUUAGGUCUUGACUCUUUGGGGUGCUUAUAAAGGUACAUCACAGCUCGUCCAAUUCCACUGUGCUUCAAGGUCUCUUGACUCACGCUUGGCAGCUCUUGCAGGAUCUUCAGAAGCUCCUCUCGUAUCUUUAGUGCUGGCAGACUUCGGUCCGGAAGAGGAGAAAGCCACUCCUUAAUGGCAGACAUUACACCACUAUCGAUGAAUGUUUCCUUGAGGUCCUGCUUUUUAAGAUGCAUAACUACAGUUGGAAGCAAAGUUAACUUCUUCAGUGCAGGUUUCUUUUGUGUAUUCAGCUGUCGAUCCUCCUCUGCAGCUUCAUUCAUCUUCACAAUCAUAGCACUGACCACAUCAUCUGCAUCACUAAUGAAAGUCCCACCAUCACGAUUUCGUCGACGCUUGCCACUCAUACUCUUCUUUCGUUGCAGCAUCAUGUCAAAAUCUGACAUGAAGUCCAUAUGCUUCCCUCUUUUGACAUUAUCAUCAGAGUCAGACUCAUCUGCCGUCUCCUUCAUCUCUGCAUCACCCUUCUCUUCUUCCAAGUCUUCCUGGUUAAAACCUGUAAAUUCCUCUUCUUCUUCAUCACCAGAUUCUCCAAAUAUAUCUGCAAUCAGAUUCUCUUGUUCAUUUCCAGAUUCACUGUCACUGCCAAACAGAUCUUUCUCUUCCUUUUUCUUCCCAGUAUCCUCUUUUCUUUCUUCCUCUUCUUCACUAUCUGAUACCAUACUUUUCUUCCUUUUGUCAGAUUUCUCUGAAGCAGCAUCACUAUCUGAUUCUUCAACAUCAGAAAGGAUUCGUACUUUUUUUGCAGGUGCUUUCUCAUUUUCAUCCUCACUGUCAGAGAGGAUAGCUGUUUUCCUCUUCACUGUCUUCUCCUCCUCUUUCUCAUCAUCAUCACUGUCCGAUAUUUUUCGUCUCUGAGGACCUUCUUCUUCACUGUCAGAACCCUGAAAUCCUUCUCUUGCUUGUUCAUUAUCUGAAUGGUGAGAAUCAUUCUGUACCUCCUCUUUCCUGUCCUCCCCAUCACUAUCAUCAGACUCUAUUUCUGGUUUGUGCCUGGCAACACCCUCACUCUCCGAGUCACUGGCCAGCUGCUUUUGGAGCUCCUCGCUCUCUGAGUCACUGGCCGGCUGCUUGUGGAGCUCCUCAUUCUCUGAGUCGCUGGCCGGCUGCUUCUGCGACUCCUCAUUUUCAAAGUCACUACUGUGAUUCCUGUGAGGCUCUCCAUUUUCAGAGUCACUCCCUUGAUGAUUUAAGGCAUCUUCAUUUUCAGAGUCACUUAAGUGUUGGUUUGGACGGUCCUCGGUAUCAGAAUCACUGUCUUUCCCUCCGUGAGCUGCUUCAUUGUCCGAAUCGCUAACAUUGUGAUUUGGAGGCUCCUCGUUAUCUGAGUCACUGUCUUUUUGCCUCGGUACAUCUUCAUUUUCAGAGUCUGUCAUAUGAGGCUCUCCCAUUUGCCCAUCAUCUUCUCCAUCACUGUGUUCAUUCUCUGAACGGUGCCCUACACUUCCAUUCUCAGAUCCAGAAUGCUGCUCGUUUCCUUCAUCUUCAACAUCAGAUCCCGAAUCUCUUUCAUCUUGCACCGGAGUAGCUCCACCAUCAUCUGACUGGUCCCCGCUGUAGUACUCGCUCUCCAUGGCGGGCCGCCGGCCCCGCCGAAACCCGGGGGCUGGCGGCAGGGCGAAGCCCUCAGCACGGCGCUCACCGCUGAGACCCACCGCCUACGAACACCACCGCCGCUCGGCUGCACAGGCCCAAAAUGGCGCCUCCCCUCCG